GUCCAUGGCUGGUUGACUAGAGGCAGAACAUCUGCUGGAAAUAUCCAAGGGGAGGUCAUGGGCUAUGAAGGCAGCGUGACAGGACAGAAUAAGGAGGGUCUGGCAUGCCAUGCUUAGAUGUCAAUGAGAGCUAAUUAGGGUGAGGUGUGUAGCCUAGGACCUAUGCUUCCUGAACUUUGGGCUUUAUUCUGCAGGCAAGAAGAGCUGAUGGAGGUUUCUGAGCUAGAAAGGGCUUUGUCCAGAAUUGGGCUUUAAGCAAAUUAUUUUGUCAGUUGAAUACUGGAAAAUUUGGAGCCAAGGAGACCAUAAAAAGGAGACCAGGAUGACGCUGCGUCACCAGUUCAGAAGCCCGGUCGAACCACUGGAGGAUGUGAAGUCACGUGAAAGAGAACAUAGACAUCCCAGUCAACAACUGCAUCCAACAGCCAGACAUCUAAAGCGAGCUGAAUACUUCGCCUCGUGUUCAGACACCUGAGGGGGAGAAUGGAACAGCUUCUGAAUGAGAAGUGAACAGAGAGACGGGAUGAAAAUCUCGAGGCGGUGGCUUUGUCUGUGGGUUCGCAGCACCUGGACCGGAUUCUAAGACCAAGAACAAGACUCCCGGGGCUGUGCUUUUAAAAGGGAAGUGUAACUAACAUUUGUAAAUGGCUUGUCCAUUGGGAAAACACUGUCCAAACAUAUAGCCUACGGUACCUCGCACGGAGCUCAUCAGUGGUUGGAUACUAGAAAGUGCCGUUCAAAACCCUUAAAAUCAAAAGUUACAAGUUGAGAAUGUUUGAAAAUUGUUUUGAUUCCACAAACUCAUUUUAGAUUAAAAAUUGAAGUUACUGAGUAGCAAAAUUGUUGUGAGACCCUUUCCCCAGUCUGGGAAAACAUCUCAAUUCUGUUGUGAUGGGGGCAUUAUCAGGACUUUAGUACAGUUCGGAGUCAGACAAACCUGGCUUAGAAUCCCAGUCCCCAAACUUGAGCAUCCUUGGGCAAGUCACUUCCUCUCUCUAAGCUUUAGUUUCCCAUCUUUAGAAUGGCGUCAGUGCUACUUAUCCCCAAGGGUUGUUAUAAGGACUGAGUAAAGUACUCAGUGUUAUAUCUGGCACUCAAUAAGCACUCAAUAAAGGGCAGUUGUGGUGAUCA
rnacentral:lncRNA from 1 species